AUGUAAUGUAAUGCCUACAACGUUAAUGUGCCUAAUCCCAGUAGAACUUCGUAGUUAAGCAUGCUUGGGAUAGAUUAGUACUGGGAUGGGUGACCUUUCGGGAAGUCUUAGUGUUUUAUGUG
rfam:Picea glauca, whole genome shotgun sequence.